UACGUUUUAUUGCGACACGCCUUUACACGUGAGAAGAAGUGAGAAAGGUAACUAUUUUAUCUUGGUCGUAUAUUUCUGACCCUGAAAAACUCUUGCGAUAAUAUCAAAGACUGUGUGUUGUGUAUUUCCGAAGAAGAAUUGUGAGAAGUUCUUCCGGUUACUUGAUAGAUUUCAGCCGUUUGUGACUUGUCACAUUGUGAAAAGUUUUCACGAAUUUUGUCAUGCUUUUUCGUGUCAAGUCCGAACCUGUUUUCUCUAUAAGAAUGGCUACAGUUACAGUCAGGAAGAAAACUCGUCGUGGGAGAAGGAAAGGAAACCGGUUUAGCUCAAGCAAGAGGUCGGUGUUUAUUCCAGCACGAAAUUGGUUGGAGAAAGGAGACAGAAGUAAGAUAAACUUUGCAGCAGAAAAUAUUACUUCUGGGGGGUGCCCGAUCUCGGACCAGAUUGAGAACAGUGCACCUUAUGAUGGCUGCGAGUUUUUCUACAGCCAUUGGUGGAAUUGCACGCCUUUCAAAAAAACCCAGAAACUUGUUCGUCCACCAUACAUGCCUAUUGCACCAAAUAAUUCAACACAAUUCAUCAUUGACAGUCAUUUUGAAAUCGAGUUUGACAAGACUGGACGAGAUGAAGUAGAGGAAAGCAUUGUAACAGGUAAUUAUGGAGACUCAGAGAGUGAAAAGAAUGAGCACAGUGGUGGUGUUCAGCACUCAGCUGUGAGUGAGGACCUGUCCAGAAACAGCCAAAGAAUGAAAUUAAAACCUUGUACAAAUCGUACAGACAUAACAGACCGAUGUCAACAGCAUAAUGAAACUCCAGAAGAUAAUCUCAAAGAGGGGGUCGUUGAAGGAUCCUAUCUACUUGAAAUAGACUAUGAUUAUGAAUCGCUCUACAAUGAUGACUUUUUCGAAUUUGUUCAUAAUGACUUUGUACAGACAUAUCAAGAACUGCAGAGAGAGAAAUUAUUGAGACUGCCAAAAUCAGAGCUUAUUGUUAAAAUCAUGGAACUCGAGACAAAAUUUGAUGAAUUACAGAGGAAAGAGGAGAUGCAGAAUUUGACGUGAAUUUUAUCUUUUCCUGAGCCCAACAUGGAAGUGUGACAUCAAACCAUUUUGUGGUUAUCAAAACCACAUGAGCUGGGCGAGACCAGAAGAGUGUUUGAAACCUGAAAAUCCCAUUUGUUGAAAAGUCAUCUCCAGAAAUUCCCUUUCCCUCUUGUGCCUACACCAUCCAUACCUGGAUUGGAACGGGAUGAAGGCUGGAGAGAUGUGUCUUGGGUCAGUCAUCACUUGGUCAACCCAUCAGAAGUCCCAAGAGGCCAAUGUUAAUUUUAUGGAAAGAGUUCAGCUUACUUGAUCAUUGACUCGCUUCAUAAAUAUGUCUGGAUGAAGUGUAAAUUUUAUUUACUAGGCACUAAGUGUAAAUUUUAUUUAUUUACUAUCAUUAAAAAUAUGUUUGGGCAUAAUCAGACUUCCCCCUUCUCACAAAAUGACCAUACUGUAAUGUUUUCAUUUUGAAUUAGAAAGUUAUUUUUCUUUCUCGAUGUUUAUUUAUUAAAGAAAAUCAUGCCUUUAGCAUUAGCCACAAAGGGGGUAUUUUCUGAUAUGAUUUGGUCAUAUCCAGCAAACAUAUUUUUAAGAUCGGCAUCAACCAAAAGAUCCGUUUUUGACAUACUCAGUGUGAGGGUGAAGAAAGAUAAAAUCAUUUUCAUCUUCGCAGGGCAUCCAGGCUCAACACAAAAAUCAGGGUAAGGGUAUUGACGAUUCAGACAUUGAUGCCCAAGUCCACAGGCCUGUCCAUUUCGGGAUAUGUAAAUGAUUACAUCCCCCCCCCCCCCCUUCGUUGUACAUACAUGUCUUGCAAACAGCUGAAAUACUGCUGAAGGCAAGAGUUACCAUUUGUUACAUGUGUUUGUGUUACCUGUUAUGCAAGAAGUGAGAGAGAGAGAGAGAGAGGUUAAAUGGUGUCUGCAUUCCAAAAUUACAUGAUUGUUGCAUAAGCAAGGUAAAAAUUUUAUAGAUAAGUUCCAUUUAAUUUAGAAACCUCAGUUUGAGUAUUUCAUUCCUGAUGGCAGUUACGAUCUGUUAGAAUACUAGACUUAAAAGUAUGAUAGUUCUGAUCAGUGUGUUGAUUUUUUCCAGUGCUCUACAAAGAUCACAGUAUUUUGAUUUGCUGAUUCACAUCUUUUUGUUCAGAACUGAAAAACCUUAUACUACUGAUUCUUGUCGUGAUUAUUGAUCACAAGUUGUCCAGUUAAUUAUAUUAGUGCCAAUGGAGAGUGGCAUGAAAACUGAAUAAAGUAUCUUGUAUGUUAUAUUGAAA